GACGUAGGGUGCAAGCGUUUGUCCGGAUUUAUUGGGCGUAAAGAGCUCGUAGGCGGCUCGUUGCGUCAACCGUGAAACCCGGGGCUUAACUUCGGGCUUGCGGUUGAUACGGGCGGGCUGGAGUUCGGUAGGGGAGACUGGAAUUCCUGGUGUAGCGGUGAAAUGCGCAGAUAUCAGGAGGAACACCGGUGGCGAAGGCGGGUCUCUGGGCCGAUACUGACGCUGAGGAGCGAAAGCGUGGGGAGCGAACAGG
rnacentral:rRNA from 1 species